GCUGUUUACAUACUGCCUCACAUGCUAAAACUGGAACGAUACAGAAAAGACUUCCCUGGCCUCUGAGCGAAAAAGACACGCAAAAUCACGAUGCGUUUCAUAUUUUU
rnacentral:snRNA from 1 species